UGCACCAUGGCUUAGCCGGCUAAAGCACCUGCCUUAUAAACAGGAGAUCCUGGGUUUAACUCUCAGUGGUGCCU
rfam:Pelodiscus sinensis unplaced genomic scaffold scaffold337, whole genome shotgun sequence.